rnacentral:misc_RNA from 1 species
AAAAUGCGAUAAGUAAUGUGAAUUGCAGAAUUCAGUGAAUCAUCGAAUCUUUGAACGCACAUUGCGCCCGCCAGUAUUCUGGCGGGCAUGCCUGUUCGAGCGUCAUUUCAACCAUCAAGCCCCCGGGCUUGUGCUGGGGACCUGCGGCUGCCCGCAGGCCCCGAAAACCAGUGGCGGGCUCGCUGUCACCCCGAGCGUAGUAAAUUUAUCUCGCUCUGGGCGUGCUGCGGGUUCCGGCCGUAAAACACCCCCCUGCUCACGGUUGACCUCGGAUCAGGUAGGAAGACCCGCUGAACUUAA